rnacentral:lncRNA from 1 species
CAAAAGAAUUCAGUUAUCCAAUCAUUUUUGGCAUUGAAAUCCAACUUUUCAAAUUCUGGCAAUCCUUAUCCACCUGAUACCAUCAUUAGAUUCAAUGGCUUUAUGUCCCCUGGUGCACAAUGGCAACUACUCCAGAUCAGCCUGUCCAGGAAAGCUCGCACCCUGUUGCUUUGACAACAACGGUUCUCGAACUUCCUGAGCCAUAGCUUUAAUCCUCAGGCCAUACCCAUCAUAUGAGUCAUAUCAACUACUCCAAGCUUGACAUCUAGAAUAAAAUGAGCAGCAUCAGAAUUGAACGUCCCCGGUCGAAGCAAAAGGAGAAUGGAGGUAGAGCCUUCCUAUUUCUGUUUAAUCUUUCAUAUUAUCUGUGUCACAUCAUCAUUUACCCGACUGUAUCUUCCUCCCCAAUAUGCCAGGUAUUUUGGAGGGGAUCAGUGAAGCAAAGGCACCGACCUGGUGCUCGGUUGUUAAGUGGGGAUUGCUGCUUCCAGAAGGAUCGUAAUCGGACCAUUUCAGCUGUCGUAAUAGUGUACUGCUGUUUUUUUUCUUUCUUGAUACAAGCGGAUGAUUCCACCAUUCUAAUGUGAGAGCAACUCAAAGAGUCUAAACAUAAAAUAUCACACAAUGCUUAAGGGCAUUUAUUUGCCUGGCAUCAAAACCAAUCAUCAGUGUGAUCAGUAAUAAAGGAGGCUAUCCAAUUCAUGGUGCUAUUCGCCUGUCGAUAGACAUGACGAACAACCAUCUUAGAAUACUAAUGAAGGGAUUCCCAAG